rnacentral:rRNA from 1 species
AGAGUUUGAUCCUGGCUCAGAACGAACGCUGGCGGCAGGCUUAACACAUGCAAGUCGAACGCCCCGCAAGGGGAGUGGCAGACGGGUGAGUAACGCGUGGGAAUCUACCGUACCCUACGGAAUAACGCAUGGAAACGUGUGCUAAUACCGUAUACGCCCUUCGGGGGAAAGAUUUAUCGGGGUAUGAUGAGCCCGCGUUGGAUUAGCUAGUUGGUGGGGUAAAGGCCUACCAAGGCGACGAUCCAUAGCUGGUCUGAGAGGAUGAUCAGCCACAUUGGGACUGAGGCACGGCCCAAACUCCUACGGGAGGCAGCAGUGGGGAAUAUUGGACAAUGGGCGCAAGCCUGAUCCAGCCAUGCCGCGUGAGUGAUGAAGGUCUUAGGAUUGUAAAGCUCUUUCACCGAUGAAGAUAAUGACGGUAGUCGGAGAAGAAGCCCCGGCUAACUUCGUGCCAGCAGCCGCGGUAAUACGAAGGGGGCUAGCGUUGUUCGGAAUUACUGGGCGUAAAGCGCACGUAGGCGGAUAUUUAAGUCAGGGGUGAAAUCCCGCAGCUCAACUGCGGAACUGCCUUUGAUACUGGGUAUCUCGAGUAUGGAAGAGGUGAGUGGAAUUCCGAGUGUAGAGGUGAAAUUCGUAGAUAUUCGGAGGA